UCGGGCAUCCCUUCCGAGCCGCGAGUUACUGCCGCCUCCCCCACUACGUUCUCUCUUCCUCUUCCCCUCCUCCUCCUCCUCCCUGCCCUGCAGCCGCCUCCACUCCUCCCCGCCACCGCGUCCUUCCUUUCUCUCCCCGUCCCACUGCAGCCUCCUCCCCUCGUCCCCCCACCUCCUCCCUCGGCGGCGGCGCGCUGGCACACACGCGAGGACGUUGCGCCGCGGCGCGGUGAGGAUGAGGCUGCGGGCGGGACGAGGAGCGGCGCACGGAUCCGUGGAGCUGCAGCGGGGACAUCGAUGCAGCGGCGCGUAGGGCAGUUUUCGCCUCAUGAUUAUCACCGCCGGGUAAUGGUCCUCCUCCCCCUUCCCCUUCCCUCUCCCUCAUCGAGGCAUGGACGGGUCAGGAUCCGGAGAUUUGGAGCUAGGGGGUAGGGUGGGGAUUAGGCAUGGAGAGCCUCUCCAAGCUUGCUAGCGAGCUCGACGACGUUGAGACCAACAAGGCUUCCACGCCCCCUAAGCUCCCACCAUCCUCCUCGCUGGAUCUGGCAACCCUGCACCAGAGAAGCAGCGGUGGCGCUUGCGCGACUAUACUGUGGGAGCUCUACCGAGAGAGUUUCAUGGAUCCACGAGGAGAAAGGAGGGAGGUCAACGAUCAUGGUGGCUAAGGAGGUCUCCACACCGCUGGCCCUGAUGAAGGGGCAAAGGCCUCUCCUCUUCAUCCCCUGGUCUUGCUUCGCACUCUCCGCUAGAGCUCUAUGGAUGCUCUUCAAUCUCCAUCAUCGAGGAUUCGAGAGCUGGCUCAUACAUACCGAGUGAUGCAAUCGAUCCAUGUUUGUAGUCAGAGGAUGGUAAGUGAAGAUGUGGAUGGGUGUGUUUAGGAUUCUGUUGUACAUACGAUUUUUAUUGUUUGAUGUGUGUUCAGGAAUUAAACUUUUUGCUGUAGUUGUCUGUUACAAUGGGGGUGUAGGCAAGCAUGAUAGGGUGCUGCGGGAGCCAUUCAAGAACGCACUGGUGGAUGUGGGAGGGAGUUUGUGCUGCUUGACACCACCACAUUCGUACUUUCCGCCGCUUGUGUUCGAGUUGCCAUAUAUUUUAGUUCACAACUCAGUUGCUACAUAUAUUUUGGUCAUUUUUUUCGUAAGCAAUAGAUAAAGGGGGGGAUUGGUAGUUUAGAUUUUGGUCAUUUUUCUAAGCAAUUUACUGUAUGCAUGCUAAGCAUUUUAUAUUGAAUUUACAAGCAAUUUUAUAUGAGCCACUACCACUAUGCAGUUAUGGUUAUACAAUAAGGGUAGUCUACUUUUAGGAUUUAGGCAAUUGACAAGCAAUGCAUGCAAAGCUUUUAAUAGUGAAACUGGGAGCAAUUCUAUUUGCUUCAUUAUGUAGUUUAUUAUGCAACUAUGGUUGUCUAGUUUUGUGGUUGUAUCUAUAUGAUGUGUAUGACCUCCAAUAUUUUACUUUUACAUAUGAUAGAUCACAAGCACCUACGUUAUUUGUCUUAUCAUUUUUGAGAUAUGAUUCAGCAUUUGGAUGAUUGCCUUUUUACUUUUUAUAGGCAACUUGUGUGAAAUCAAUAAGCAAAUUAUGUAUUUUGGUUUAGUAUUUUUCAUGUUCUAACUAGCAUUUUUGGUGUUAAGCUGAUCGUCCAUUUUUCAACUGAUUUUAAUUUGUUCUUGGUGCAUAUUGCAAUUUAUAUAUUAGCUAGAAAAUAACACUUUUCAGUGUAGUUUUGAUCCCUUUUGUGAUAAGCAAUGAUAAAUAACUAUAGACAAAUAACCAUUUUUGUGAUAAGCAGUGAUAAUUAACUAUAGCAAAUAACAUGUUAUACUUCUGCUCAAACAACAGGGUACUGCUGCCUUUUCUUUUGUGUUCAUGUGAUUUGGGGUGAUGUGAAACAUUGAAGGAGGCAGAUCUUUUGUUGUUUGUCUGAACUACAAUAUAUACUUGAUGUUGUAUCAAUUUUUCAUAUUUGGUUAGUUUUACCAUUUUGGUUCUACUGGCCAAUUUCUGAAGGAAAAAUUCAUUUUAAUUUAGCACGUUUUGUAUUCUAGUUUAGCAGUUUUGUACUCUAAUUAUCUAUCCUCUUAAUGUAUACUGAUUCAAUUCUUGUGUUUGGUACUUUGUGCUUGGUUCUAUAGCAGGCUCAUACAAAUUUGAAGGAGGCAGUCCAUGCAUUUUAAUUUGGUGCUAGAGGAUGAGGUCUGAAGACUUAUUUUUUGAAUGUUUAGAAUUUAACUAGAUGUGUGAAAAUAUCAUUGUAUAUGUUCUAAGUUGCUUACAUCUUUUUAAAGUUUUGCCUAUGAGGUCUUGAGAAGUUGCUUUUUGACAUUGUAAAUGUUGAUUUGAUUUACCAAUAUUAUGAAGUUAAGAACAUCCAGAAGCACGGCUAAUGUUUUUAUUUUGCUUAUUCUAGUUCUGGUGGUGACAACACCAGUUCCGAUCGGUGCUAAUGCAUAUUUUUUUGUCAGAAAGAGAAAAGGAGGACUUGCCGGUCUUGCUCCUUUUCCAAAAACGGGGUGGCUGUACGGCCGGCCUAACUUAGGGUCGGCCAUACGUUAGCUACGUCAAUAUAAAAAUAAGGCUUAUUAGCUAAUAAUUAAAUUAUAUAUCUCACACCCUCUUUCAUCUAUUAAAUAUUCUAAUACAUAUUCUAAAAUACAUAUUUAUUAUUAUAUAGUUGCAAUAGAUUUUAUUUUGCAUCACACCUUCAUGUAUGUUUGAUAUAUAUUUAAUCAAACCAUUAGUUUGUGAAUUGGUAUUCUUAUCUCUUCCAUCAUACAUGAAUACAUGGUGACACGUAUCGUGAAUAGUAUAUUUAUGUAAGCAAUAACAUAAAUAAUAUAUUAAUAAUAAUAUAAAUAGUAAUUUAGAAUUUUAUAUUUAUGCACUUUAAUAUUUUGUUAUAAUUAUAUAAUUUAGGUUUAGAUUUAGAGGAUACUUCAACUUUUAAUAAUAACAUAAUUGGAUAAUUUAUAUGCAAAUUUAGGUGGCUAUUUGCAUUAUUUUUAUAAUGGCAUAGGUGGGUAAUUUAUACGAAGAUCAGGGGUUACUUUAGUCUAUUUUCGUAAUGGCGGAUAUAAGUAAUUUAUUAGGGAAGAUAACAGAUCCAAUGACUAUUAUGAUCAGAGUUGUCGGAUUGAUGGCGGGGUGUUUCUGAUUUUUCUUAAGAAUAUCUAGGAUUUCUCUAUUUUUUUAAGUAUUAACUUAGGAUCCUAAGUGGCUUCAUGUGAAGGCUUAAACUACCUAAUUAGUAAUAGUAAGAUUUCUUGCCUCACGAUUCAUCAUUAUCCUUAAGCUGCACUUAAAUUGUUUCUUUGGAAAUGUUCUCGUUGGAUUGUCAAUUGUCAUAGCUCCGAGGCCUACUGUUGGAUCUUGCCAGUAACAAGCUUUCGAGGCACUUGCCGGAAACUUCACCGAAAGGGUACUGUACCGCAAGAACAGCUGAGCUGAUUAUUUGUGGGGCUUGGUCACUCUGGUCAGGGCGAAAUGCAAGGAAUCACGGCAAACAAAACUGGGAUUCUGCAGCCGCGGCUAGACGAAUCUCGUCUAUGCUGGAAGACUUUAUUUAUUCAGGUACGGAAGCGUCCUCGAGCCGAGCCGGAGUCCGGAGUCGCUGGUCACGGCCACCGAGCGGAGGGGCAAAGGUUAACACUGAUGAUGCAGCCUUCUCGAUGGCCACCGGAACUGGGUGCACUGGAGCAGUACCGUGUGACGAGAUGGGAGGCGUGAUGGCGGCAGCGGCGCGUUCUUACUCCAACAUUGCAGAUGUGCUGAUGGCGGAGGCGUUGGUGGCGGGGGACGGGAUGCUCUUACCAGUUGAGCAGGAAGCAAUGAAGGUGAUCCUGGAGACCGACAAUGCAACGGUGGUCACUCUUCUUCAUCAGAUGAUGGAAUCCGUAGCUGUAUCGCUGGUGUUUGGCAUGAAAUUAGAGAGCUUAGCUUGUCUUUUGCUUCUUUUGUUUGUGCUCAUGUUAACCGGGAAGGCAAUGAGGCUGCCCACUUGUGCGCGCGCAUGCCAUCGGUGUCUUCCCCUGUCAUGUCCUGGAUUGGGGCUCUUCCGAACUGGUUAAGGGAGGCCGCCAAUACGGAUUGUAACGUUGAGGUUCAGCAGUAAAGCUCUAUGAUUUGCCCUCAAAAA